GUGAACAAGGUGUUCUUAUGAUGUAUCCUUGAUGAAUUUCCUAGUUAAUUAAAGAUUUGAGGUGUAUUCUAGUAUGCUAUGCUGGAUGUAGUUGCUAUGUCUUGCUGAAGCUUUUUGUACAAAUUGUUCAGGGAAAAGCACACUGGCAUGCUCAUUAAGUAGAGAACUGCAUUCUAGGGGAAAGCUGUCCUAUGUCCUUGAUGGAGAUAACCUUCGGCAUGGACUAAACAAGGACCUUAGUUUCAAAUUAGAAGAUCGAACUGAAAACAUACUUUUGAGUUGAUUAAGAGUCUUCUAGGGACAAAGGUUGAGUGGCUCUACUAUAUUCUUUAGGCAUUCAACUCUGGUGAUUUAGUUCAUUAUCAGGAACUAUGUCAUGUGCACAAUGCUGCUCUGAGGGCUCAACCAGCAUUAGUUAAGAAUGAGAAAAAGCUGGUGGAAAAGAUAAAUAUUCUCUGCUUGAUGGAAAUUAUUUUCAGGUUUAGCAUUUGUCUUUUUUUUUUUUUUUUGGUUCUACCUUUGAUUUGUGCCAGAGGAACAAGUCUUUCCCGAUACAAUUGGCAUAAUUGAUUAACUGCUACAUGUUUCCUUGCAGCCGGUCAUCUAAUGAUCGAACUAUACCUUUGAGUAUCAUUGUAGAGCGCACAAAACUUUCUAUCGAGGAGGUGGAGCAUCUUCUUAUGAAGAGCCUUUCUGUUCAUCUGAUUGAGGGCCUAAUUGAUCAAGUUGAGGGAACAGUGCAUGUAUCCUGGAUGCAGCCAAGAGUAUUGGGGAUUCCACAGAUCACAUCCUUGCGCGAUCGUCUGGACAAUUGUAACAAUUCAUUAACAGAAAAGGGAAAAAAAUUGGAAAGGCGACCCAAAAAAAAAAAAACAAAAUUAAAAGAGACUCGUCUUUUAAGUCGCAUGGGCAGUAUGGCCAGCUGUAUGCUUCUUUUCUUAUUGCCUAUUUUUGUUGAAUCCUCUUCCUGAAAGGAGCAGCCUCUUGUGCUUCAUGAAGUCAUCGAUUCCAUAGUGGCAUCCCUAGAGACUAAUGAAAAACGGUUGUUUUACGCUUUUGAGUGGUUUAUUAGACUAUGUAUUUGAAAUUUUUCUUACACACAAUCAGAUGUGAUUCUCUUAUUGUUGUUAGAGUGCAUUUCCUUUCGUGAUUAUCAUUUUAUUCUUCUUUUAUAUAUUGCUAUGUUUGAACCA